UCACACUCCUAGCCGUCAAUCACUCAAAUCCCCCAUUCUUUUCUCUCUCCUCUCUCAUUAUACUAACUCAAUCUCUCUCUUCUACGACUGAUUCACCUCACCCAAUUCACUCAAUCUCCUCCUUUUCACCACCCUAAUUCUCAAAAUUUCCCCUCUUUCUCUCUCCUCUGAAUCGUAUCAACGAUAGAGGACCCAAUUUAGGAUGUCUUUUGCACGAAUCUCGUUACUCGGAAGUGGAUAUGGUGGUGAUGAUUCUCAUAAAAAAACAUCACAGUACGUUAUGGGGGAUUAAAAUUGAUUCAAAAAUGUGUCAUCAGCACCAGAGGAAUGACAAGGAAGAAUUUGUGAGGUGCACCAAGUGUAAAACCAAGCGGUUUUGUGUUCCCUGCAUACAAAAUUGGUCUUUUUUUUUUUUUCUUUGUUUUUCCCACUCUUUUUCUAUUUGUUGUUCCUUAACUUGUGUAUUUGUCAACCUGAUGAAUGUUACUUAAAAGAAAGGACUAAACUUGAAAUGAAUUAAAUGUCUUGUUGUGAUAUGUUUUAGGAACCUGCUUUGUUUCACACUCAUUAUCUGCUUUGCAUAUUACUUGGUGUUGAUUUUUAUGGUUUUCA